AUAAAUAUUUUUUAUUAAAAAAAAGUUUUUUUUUGGCUUAAAUGAUAGGUAUAUAAUUUUUUUACAUGUAAAUUUAAGUGUUAGUUGAUAUAAAUUUAUAAAGUUUAUUAUUUAAAGUGUUAUUCUCAGUAUUUAAUAUUAAGUAUUAAGGAGGCUUAGACUUAGAAAUUUAUUAAAAUAUUAACAUAAUUUGUGCCAGCAGUUGCGGUUAUACAAAUAAUAUUAUUUAUCAUUUUUAAUUUGUAAUUAAUUUAAAUUUUAUAAUUUUAAAUUGUAGUUUAUAAAGUGAAAUUUUAAAUUAUAAUUAAUUUUUAUUAAAGUUUAUGAAGUUAUUAAAUUUUACUUAAAACUAGGAUUAGAUACCCUAUUAUAAAAAUGUAAAUAAUAAAAAUUAAAUUAUUAAUAGUUAUAGGCUUUAAAGUUAAAAAAUUUGGCGGUAUUUUAAUCUAUUCAGAGGAACCUGUCCUGUAAUUGAUAUUCCACGAUUAAAUUUACUUAAUUUAAAAAUUUGUAUAUCGUCGUAGUUGAAUAUUUUAAUAGAAUUAUAAUGUUCAAAAUGUUAUAUUAGAAUAUAAAUCAGAUCAAGAUGCAGUUUAUAAUUAAGAAGUGAUGGGUUACAAUAAAAGUAAUUUUUGGAUUUUAUUUUGAAAAAAUUAAUGAAAAUGGAUUUGAUUGUAAUUUGAUUUAUUUAAGUUUAAUGAAUAUAGCUCUAAAAUAUGUACAUAUCGCCCGUCGCUCUCAUUUAAAUUGAGAUAAGUCGUAACAUAGUAAAUGUACUGGAAAGUGUAUUUAGUUUG
rnacentral:ncRNA from 1 species